ACCAAGGGGAGAUGGCAGGACUGAACUUGGAGGCCAUGGUCUUCCUGCCUAGAAAGGAUGCACUCUGGAACUCCUCCAACCUAAAGUAGCACUGUACCACCCCAGCCUCGGGGCCAGUGAGUACCACCAGCACUGUGUUGUGCACUGUUUUGUACACUGUGAACAACUGUCACUCUGACUGCUUUAAUAAAAAAGGGAAUGGCCAAUAGCAAGGCAGGAUUUUUGGGGCAAAGAGGAUGCUGGGAAGAAGAAGAGAGUCCAGUCAGAUGGAGAGGGAGUAAGACGUGCAGGACAAAAGGUAAAUGCCACGAGUUACAUGGCAACACAUAGAUGAAUAGAAAUGGGUUCAUUUGAGUUACAAGAGCUAGUAGGGCAAGCCUAAGCUAUAGGCCGAGCUUCCAUAAUUAAUAAGAAGACUCCGUGUGGUUAUUUGGAAACUGGCAGGUGGGACAGAGAAAGACUGGCUAUAGCAUUGGUUAUGUAUUCAGAGCUCCCUGUGCUGCCUGGUACCACUGUUUUGCUAGGCAGUUGGCACAUGAACACAGGGACACUGAAGUGCUGGGGAACCUGAUCAGCCCACCUGGGUUGGAUGAUCCCAGAAGCAUAGCAUUCCCAUGUCGACUAGAACUCCAGCACCAUUCUCCAAAGUAAUGAUUAUGGAGUCUCUUAUUGUAUCCACUCCAGUGUACUCAAAGUUCCAACUCAUCCCUGUGCACCUUGCUUUCCCCAGAGACCAUCCUGCCCUGCUACGCUCUCAUAUACCAGGAAAUACAGACACCAGAAAUCCUUUCUAGGGGUGGCCUCCAAUACACACUAACUUCAUGAGGCCGCCAGACCUGAAAACACAGCACCUCAGCCCUUCAUGAGAACAUGUGUGAAAUCCAAGCAAUGACAUUCUACCUAGAUCACCAACACCCCGCUCCAUCCUUUCAGCAGAUGGGCCCAGGGUGGUGAGUUCUCCUGCCUGAUCACAGUGCCUGUUAUAUUGUUGAAGGCAGGUAUCUGCCAGCAACCAGCUCAAACAUGGAGGAAACAGUGAGAUGGUUGUUUCCACACUGUUUCUCCAAGUGCCACUGACAUGAGCUCUCAGGUAAAGCCAGGCCCACUUUCUCUAUUUCUGCCGUUCCCAUCCUCCCUCCACCCCUAAAGUAUGCUUCAUUAGGCAGCCAGAACACCAUUUUGGGGAUUAAAAGUCCAAAAUCAGCAUGACAGGGCUGGAACCAAGGUGCCAGUAAAUCUUUGCCCCCUUGGGGGGUUAAAACAAUUUGUCUUUGUCUAUUCCAGCUGCUGGCAUUUCUUGGCUUGUAGCCUCAUCAAGCCGAUCUCUACUCUUACUUACAUCACCUCCUUCUCUUCUGUAGUCAACUUUCCUUCAAGCCCCUUCUUAAAAAUAUUUUUUAUUUUGUGUGUGUGUUCAUGUACCUAUAGAAGCCAGAAGAGGCUGUAAGAUUCCCUGGAGUUGGAGUUACAGGAGACUGUGAGCUGACCAACUUGGGUGCUAAGAACCAAAUUCAGGUCCUCUAUAAGAACACAAAGUAGUCUUAAACCUCUAAGCCAAUGAGUGGGUCCCAACCUUCCUAAUGCUGCAACCCUUUACUACAGUUCCUCAUGUUGUGGUGACCACAACCAUAAAAUGAUUUCACUGCUACUUCAUAACUGUAACUUUGCUACUGUUAAAAAUAUCUAAUAUACAGGAUAUCUGAGGCUCAGUAGUAGAGUGCUUGCCUAAUCAAUCAUGAGGCCCUAAAUUCAGUCUCCAGUACUGCCAAAAACCACGUGGGUAUACAUUAAAAACCUGAAGAGGGCCAGGCAGUGGUGGUGCACACCUUUAAUCCCAGCAUUUGGGAAGCCAAGGCAGGCAGAUCUCAGUGAGUUCAAGGCCAGCCUGGUCUACAAAGAGAGUUCCAGGAGAAAUAGGACUGUUACACAGAGAAACCCUGUCUCAAAAAACAAACAAACAAAUAAACAAAAAACCCUGAAGAGAAGAACUGAGUGUGGUGACAUAUCUGUUGUGAUAUGAGCGGCGGGGCUGCGUCCCUGGCACCCGGCCGCCUGCUUGGCUAGCUUAUGCCUAGAAAUAAUUACACGGAAACUGUAUUCUUUUAAACACUGCCUGGCCCAUUAGUUCUAGCCUUUUAUUGGCUAGCUCUUACAUAUUAAUCUAACCCAUUUCUAAUAAUCUGUGUAGCCCACAAGGUGUGGCUUACCAGGGAAGAUCUUAACCUGUGUCUGUCUGGAGUGGGAGAAUCAUGGCGACUCCCUGACUCAGCUUCUUUCUCCCAGCAUUCUGUUCUGUUUACUCCACCCAUCUAAGGGUUGGCCUAUCAAGGGGCCUAGGCAGUUUCUUUAUUAAUAAGAAAUCACUCCCACAUCACAUAUCGAAGAGGCUGGGGCAGGAAAUUACCACCUUGCAAAUACAUUGGGCAGGCCAAGCAGUGGUGUGCACACCUUUCACCCAGCACUCGGGAGACAGGCGAAUCUCUGGGUUCAAGGCCAGCCUGGUUCUAAUAGCAAAUUCCAGGACAGCCAGGGCUAUGCAGAGAAACUGUCUCUAAAACAAACAAACAAACCAAUCAAAAACCCUCAAAACCAAAAAACAAAACAAAAAAGUCCACCUAAGGCUACAGAGAAGACAUCCUAUCUCAAAACUACAAGUCUGGAAGGGCCUUUAAUUCAGCACUCAGGAGACAGAGGCAGGCAAAUCUCUUAAAUUCUAGGCCAGUCCGAGCUGUAUAGGAAGAUGCUGAUUAAAACAAACAAACAAACAACUUUAAUACUGACAGGAUCUUCAGUAUUUAUCUCUGGAAUAGAGGAUUGUGGGGACUUUCUGAUCUGUAAUUUAUGUUAUAUUUGAACUUUCAUGACUGUUAAUAAUUUUUCAUUUGUAUUAAUUACAUGUAUAUGUGUGUAUAUUCAGGUGUCCUCAAAGACCAAAGGCAUCAGACCCUGGAACUAGAGUUCUGGUCAAGCUGCCUUAUCUGGGCGCUAGGAAUGCAGCUCAGGUGCUCUGCAAGAACAAUACAAUGAACCACCUCUCCAGUCCUACUUACUAGUAAUUUUAUCAAGACAAAACUCCCAAAGUGUUAACAUUCUCUGGAUUGAUAUGGUCCCCAGCAUACCUGCAGCAAGGCCAGAUCAGCGUCCUGGGCUAGCUGCUGCAGGUUCUUCACAGCAGAUGUGGUCUUGAUGACCCGCACCAGAGCCGGAGAGCAGUCAAUGGGAAGCUCACCCAGCAGAGACUUCUCAUCACUGAGUAGCAGCAAGGCAUGGUACGGGCUGAAGGACAGAAGCACAUGUCAGCGGAACAUGAGGGGCCAUAGACCCUGGACCACCAGAAAUGGGCCCUGACCAAAGCAUGUCUGAGUGCAUGGAAAGCUCACAACCAACCUUGAGAAACCACCUAAGGAAACACUGCAUUGUGAUAAGAUCUCGGCAUCCACACACAGAUGGAAAAAGAAGGGCAAGAGGGGAGAAGGUUAGAGUACGCUGCAUGGAGUCACGCCCAUGCAAACACUAGCCUGCCUCCUCCAAUUAGCUUAACUCAUGGUCACAAAGGGAAGAAAUAAUAGGUCCUAUUUUUGAACUCUCUUAUUUAGGGGAUAGCACAGGGUAGCUGUUGGAACAACAUGGAAUCAGAAUUAAAUGCCAAGACUCCUAUCAUUUCAAAUACAAAUGAUUCUGCUCCACCAAGGACCUCAGUGGUGCUGUAACAACCAUCUGGUAGGUGCAACUCUAAGUACUGUUUCAGGUUCCUGGAGUACAGCAAGAAAGGAAACAAAUUACAGCCUUGCACUUGGGAGAAUCUCUGGCUGGCACUAAGAAAGACAACCUUCAGCAAGUUGUAUAAACCACAGAGUUACAGAAAAAGGCGCAUCAGAGACUUGUGUAUAGGCCAGGCUUAAAUGCUAGCUGUGGGCAUGAGGGAAACCAGAGACACAUUAAGGCCUUCAUAAUACCUUCACAGCUCAGGAGUCUCUGCCAUCCUCAUGACAGAUGACUUUGGAUCCCCAGCCUGUGACUUUCCCUCUGAAUACUUUGCGCUGAGCUGGAGCCUCUUUACAAACUAACCGAGCUCUGUGGGGCAGAGACACUGAGCGCUGCCAUUAGGAGUCCCCCGAGGACCAGAUGCACUCCUAGACAAACCGCUGGAGUACACUGGAGGACAGGGAACAUCAGAAAUGCCCAACUUUAGCCUGUAGCUCUAGAGAAAGGCAGGUGAAUCUUUCACAGUAAAAGGGAAAACCAGGGAACACACUAGCAUCUGUGAAGAAGGGAAGAAACAGGACUGUCCCUACUUCUAUAAUCUGCAAUUCAAGACAAAACCAGGGUCUACACCAGAAAAGUUUCCUGCUAAGCUUGUGUUUCUUUUUGCAGGUGUUUAAUUAUUUAGUCUGAAAACACUCUGCAGACAAACACUAUCCCCAAGCUUAUCCAGCCUUCACAGCAGAAGAGCCCAGCCCUUCCUGUAACAAGAGAUAAUGCUUCUGCCGGAGCCCUGCAUCUGCACACCAUGACUGUGCAGAGCACCAGGACCCUGUGGUCCACACCCAAGAUGCGCCCUGUGCAAGCUUAUCUCACUCCUCACUCCUCAACUCCUACCUUUGGCUAAGAACCAAAGGUCACUUUUUGACUCAGGUCAGCUCAUCCUCUUCCUCCUUUGAGACUCUGUCAUGUGUGCUGUGUCCUCUGACCCACACAGCAGCAGUCAAUCUUCCUGCACAUGUGGUAGGAUGCUGCACAAACCAGGAGACAUGGGUAGGCUUCAAAAGUCCUUGAGACUUCAAAUGAAACUUUACAUAUAGGUACACUCUCAUGAAAUGAAGACCUUGACUCUCAGAAUAUCGGAGGCAUACACAGGCUUGCGCUUGCUCUUGAGCAGUGCCUGGCCAGGCCUAAGACAGAAUUCCCAAGAGCUAAGCCGCCCAGACUCUACCACAGUCCGUUAACUCAGAGAAUUACUCAACAGAACACUUCUUCACACCCCAAGGGAUUUAAAUCAUCACUUCUCCUGCCAUUACAAAUUCCUUUAACUCUCCGUGGAUGAUGAGCUAGGCAAAGGGUUAUGUACAGAAAGUGAAGGGACACCCCUGCCCUAUUGAGGGAUGGAAGCCAGGGGUCACAUGGGCUCGUGAGUUCCGUAAGGAGACAGGUAAUGGGACAGUCAGGGUAACCUCCUAAGAGGUUCCUACUUCCAGUCUAUACUCACAGACACAUAGGGACCCUGGCUUUGGAUAGUAAAUCCAGAACAAUUCUGUUAAAAAGAUGCUCUCAAAGCUCUACAUCAAUUAAGCCCACAGCUUCCUGUCCUUUAGGUCUUCUCGGAGAAGAUCUUUCUCAGGAAUCUGGCAGGAACCUGCUUUCAGGAGACAAUUACCCAGCCAACGUACAGUCAGCCACAACUUUUCAUUGCUGAGGGAACAGGACCUUGAGACCAACCACAGACCUAGUGAGAUGAAGCUGAGGGAAAAUCAAGCCAAGAGGGCUACUAGGCAAUUACAGAGCUGUGCCAAUACCAGAUGGGUGGGAACAGAGGUCACACCUGCCACAUCCUGCCAGGAAGUGUUGCUCUCAGCCUCCCCAAGGCAGCUUCUAGGACCCAGGAUUGGCUGGUGUGGAAGUUCACCUGGAGAGUGAGACCUUGCGUACUAACAAACAGGUUAUCUGGCUAGAAGAAGAAUCUUGAGUAGCCUUUCUGGUGAGAAAUUCCAAAAGCUCAAAUUCCUGUGCUCCUCCAAAUUGGUCCACUAGGUGGCGCUAGGAGGCAUCAAGCCCUGAGCUGUGCCUGGUGGAUGACAAAACUGUGUAAGGUCUUAUUUCCUUCCAACUUUCCACCACAAUCCCCGUCCACUCUCUUUUCUUUAGAAACCUAAGGUCCCUGGUUUUCCUUUUACUUUGUUUUUUAGAUGCUAUGUAGCCUAGCCUUGUCUACAUAAAUGAAUUAGUUCCAGGCUAGUCAGGGCUACAGAAAAGAACCCAGUCCAACAAACAAAAGAGAAAAAGCUAGAGUCACACUCCUGUAAUCCCAGCAGAAGGAUCUGAAGUCUCAAACCAAUUUAGACUACUUAGUGAGACUCUAUCACUCACACACACACAAUUAAGUAUUUUGUUUACAUUUUAAUAGAGUAUUUGGCCACCAAUAUAAUCAAAUCAACAUGAGGUUUCCAUUGUGUCCCCAAUACUUGCUGACCCCAUAUAGUCAGUGUCUCAAACUCCAGCUUUCCCAGAGCCCAGAUUAUGACAGUCAACACCAGUUCUACCCACUGAACCUUGAUUUCCUCAUGUGUGAAGAGACUCACCUCAUGUGAGACUCACCUCAAUAUAGAUGGCAAAGAACUUGGUAGCAAGUUAAGCUCAAUAAAAUGUUUAAUGGUUUAAAAAAAAACCUUUCAGGCUUCUGUGCAUAACUUUGCACAAUCUUCUGUUUUAAAAGGGGUCUGGAGUGAUGUAUCCCUGCCGAGUACACACUACUCAACAAAGGGGCUGACGCUUGAAAAAUGGACACCAAGGUGACUUUUCUGAAGAGUGGCCACACAGCCGUCCCUUCCCUGCCCUCCCUCGUUCUACCUCAGCAGAGCUCCAGCACACACACCAGAGCAUCGCCCAGCCUAUGGCAGCUCUGUGGGAUGUUUCAGCUCUGGAGGCUGGGGGAAGGAGACCCAGGAAGAGGAGAUUAGACAAGCAUAAU